UCCUGUAUAGAGAAGWAAAMMAKUKGSAGGAGUAUAYGUCUSACCUGACGUACUACAGAGGCACGGCUACUACGKGCRGCAGCSGCGUAUACGUAGUGCAAGSGUGUUCCGGAAUWUGGCGUAAGGGCUGGCAGGCGGUUUUUAAGUCUGAUGUGAAAGCCCCGGCUCAACCGGGGAGGGUCAUGGAAACUGGGAAACUGAGUGCAGAAGAGGAGAGUGGAUUUCCACGUGUAGCGGUGAAAUGCGUAGAGAUGUGGAGGAACACCAGUGGCGAAGGSGACUCUCUGGUCUGUAACUGACGCUGAGGAGCGAAAGCGUGGGGAGCGAACAGGAUUAGAUACCCUGGUAGUCCACGCCGUAAACGAUGAGUGCUAAGUGUUAGGGGGUUUCCGCCCCUUAGUGCUGCAGCUAACGCAUUAAGCACUCCGCCUGGGGAGUACGGUCGCAAGACUGAAACUCAAAGGAAUUGACGGGGGCCCGCACAAGCGGUGGAGCAUGUGGUUUAAUUCGAAGCAACGCGAAGAACCUUACCAGGUCUUGACAUCCUCUGACAACCCUAGAGAUAGGGCUUUCCCUUCGGGGACAGAGUGACAGGUGGUGCAUGGUGUCGUCAGCUCGUGUCGUGAGAUGUUGGGUUAAGUCCCGCAACGAGCGCAACCCUUGAUCUUAGUUGCCAGCAUUCAGUUGGGCACUCUAAGGUGACUGCCGGUGACAAACCGGAGGAAGGUGGGGAUGACGUCAAAUCAUCAUGCCCCUUAUGACCUGGGCUACACACGUGCUACAAUGGACAGAACAAAGGGCUGCRAGACCGCAAGGUUUAGCCAAUCCCAUAAAUCUGUKSUCAGUUCGGAUCGCAGUCUGCAACUCGACUGCGUGAAGCUGGAAUCGCUAGUAAUCGCGGAUCAGCAUKCYKMAGGKGAAUACGUUCCCGGGCCUUGUACACACCGCCCGUUCUUWYWUAYWRAGRGCGGGGGAA
rnacentral:rRNA from 1 species